AGAGUUUGGUCCGGGCUCAGGACGAACGCUGGCGGCGUGCUUAACACAUGCAAGUCGAACGGUGAUAGUGGGGCUUGCUCCACUGGAUCAGUGGCGAACGGGUGAGUAACACGUGAGUAACCUGCCCCUGACUCUGGGAUAAGCCUUGGAAACGAGGUCUAAUACCGGAUAUGUGACGUUCAGGCAUCUGAUGCGUCUGGAAGGAUUUAUCGGUCAGGGAUGGGCUCGCGGCCUAUCAGCUUGUUGGUGGGGUGAUGGCCUACCAAGGCGACGACGGGUAGCCGGCCUGAGAGGGCGACCGGCCACACUGGGACUGAGACACGGCCCAGACUCCUACGGGAGGCAGCAGUGGGGAAUAUUGCACAAUGGGCGCAAGCCUGAUGCAGCGACGCCGCGUGAGGGAUGAAGGCCUUCGGGUUGUAAACCUCUUUCAGCAGGGAAGAAGCGAAAGUGACGGUACCUGCAGAAGAAGCGCCGGCUAACUACGUGCCAGCAGCCGCGGUAAUACGUAGGGCGCAAGCGUUGUCCGGAAUUAUUGGGCGUAAAGAGCUCGUAGGCGGUUUGUCGCGUCUGCUGUGAAAACUCGAGGCUCAACCUCGGGCUUGCAGUGGGUACGGGCAGACUAGAGUGCGGUAGGGGAGACUGGAAUUCCUGGUGUAGCGGUGGAAUGCGCAGAUAUCAGGAGGAACACCGAUGGCGAAGGCAGGUCUCUGGGCCGCAACUGACGCUGAGGAGCGAAAGCAUGGGGAGCGAACAGGAUUAGAUACCCUGGUAGUCCAUGCCGUAAACGUUGGGCACUAGGUGUGGGGCUCAUUCCACGAGUUCCGUGCCGCAGCAAACGCAUUAAGUGCCCCGCCUGGGGAGUACGGCCGCAAGGCUAAAACUCAAAGAAAUUGACGGGGGCCCGCACAAGCGGCGGAGCAUGCGGAUUAAUUCGAUGCAACGCGAGAUCUUACCA
rnacentral:rRNA from 1 species